GGCCCUUGCCCGAGGGGGCAGGACAGUGACAGGUUGAGGGUCGCGGGGUCCUAGCGCCCGAAACUGCUAUGGGCGUAGAAGCCGUCCCAGGAGUCCUGACAUUGGCUAGCCAGAGCUCGUCGCGUCUGCCUGAGCGGCCGCUCCUCUACCAAGAGCACUCAGAUUCCCCAAGAAACCCCCUGAGGGGUUAGCAACCACCUCUGGAAUGGCACAUGAAGUCUCUCUCCUUCAUGGUUUUGGAGGAUCAACUUCUGCGCCUGGAAGAACUAGAAGAAGACCAUUUGAUUACCAAGCUUUUGGUAUCUUCAGCCCCACUACUGUCUUUCCCCUCACUUCACUUCUGACUUUCUCCCUUUUUCCUUUCUGCUUCUGUCUACUUCUGACAGAUCUGGCAAAAAUACAGAAGAUUUGCAGAAACAGGCUGUUCACUUCCCACCCUGGUGCUGUCACUGCAGAUUGCUUCAGAGCUGCUGUCUCCUGUGCUUGGACAAAGUGUCGGGCAUCCUUCUUUGUCCUCACAAUCCUGGUGUCUGCCCUGUGCGCUGAGUGCCUUUCAGAGCCAGCAGGCCAGCCCCAGGUAUGCCCUCUGUGUGCUUACGCAGAAGACUGAAGGGGUCCUAGAGAGGCUAUUCAGAAUCAGACAAUAAAGAUAAAAGAGGGGCGGAAUCAGGUAAAGGUAAGCAUUUCAUGUGUCUAACUGUAUCUUCCUGAUGCGUGACAGUAAUGUGCUAGCAGCACUGUCCAUCAGAACUUUCUGUGAUAAUGGAAACCUUCUACAUCUGUGCUGUCCAAUAUGGCAACGACACAUGGCUAUUGAGCACUUGAUGUGUGGCUAGUGAGGAAUUGAAGUUUUUAUUGAGUUUAAUUUUACUUAAUUUAAAUAGUCACCUAUGACUACUGACUAUUGACCUAGAGAUACUGGUGUUUUAAAAGAUAGAAGAGAAAAAGUAGGAGGCCAGACAUUGGUGUUUGAGUCCUGGGUUCAAAACCCAGCUCUCCUAUGUCAUUAGCUUUGUAACCCAAGGAAAGACACUUAACCUCUCUGUACCUCUUUUAUUUUU